rnacentral:lncRNA from 1 species
UUGGUCUAAUAAUUGCAGGGAUCAUAUAACCUUGACCUCAUUUUCAUGGUUAAUUAGUCAAUGUAAAGAUUUUGUGGUUUAAUCAGAUUCUCAGGUACUUUUAGCUAUAGCACCACUAAAUUUGGUGUAUGGAAUGAUUGUAAGGUUUUCAUGUCUGUCUGGCAUGGUUCAUCUGAACAAGAGUUCAUUUUCAUGGAUCUUUGUUAAUGUUAAGUUUAUUUAAUACUUGAAGUAAAACCUUUAUAUUACACUUUCAAUAUGAAUUCAGUCAUUAGUAAAUCAGGCAAGAUAUUUCAGCAUGUGUACUCUUGUUUAUCAAAACAGGUGAUGUGGACUUG